rnacentral:rRNA from 1 species
CAGCCGCCGCGGGAAUACGUAGGGUGCAAGCGUUAAUCGGAAUUACUGGGCGUAAAGCGUGCGCAGGCGGUUAUAUAAGACAGAUGUGAAAUCCACGGGCUCAACCUGGGAACUGCAUUUGUGACUGUAUAGCUAGAGUACGGCAGAGGGGGAUGGAAUUCCGCGUGUAGCAGUGAAAUGCGUAGAUAUGCGGAGGAACACCGAUGGCGAAGGCAAUCCCCUGGGCCUGUACUGACGCUCAUGCACGAAAGCGUGGGGAGCAAACAGGAUUAGAUACCCCGGUAGUCCCUGUCUCUUAUAC